UACGAAGGGGGCUAGCGUUGCUCGGAAUCACUGGGCGUAAAGCGCACGUAGGCGGCUUUGCAAGUCCCAUGUGAAAUCCCACGGCUCAACCGUGGAAGUGCAUGGGAAACUGCAGAGCUUGAGUACUUAAGAGGAUCGCGGAAUUCCCGGUGUAGAGGUGAAAUUCGUAGAUAUCGGGAGGAACACCAGUGGCGAAGGCGGCGAUCUGGGAAGAUACUGACGCUGAGGUGCGAAAGCGUGGGGAGCAAACAGG
rnacentral:rRNA from 1 species